UUAAGAGGACGUGAAACCGGUGAGGAGGAAACGGAUAGAGUCGGCGUAUCUUGCAAGUAUUCAAUUACUUUAUUAUUGUGUUGUUAUCUCUGAGCUCCAGAUUGGGACAGAGGAAAGCAGCAUGAUUUAAUGUGAUGCAUUUACUUGUCUGGUGUGUGGGGGUAUCUAAGAUGGAUUUGCAACCAAUGUUUUGAGGCCAGCUUGCUGGUACCCAAACGUUGGUAACAUUUUUUAUCUUGGAAAUUCGAGUACUGCUUACCUGCAUUUUUUGUAUUGAUCUAAAUGCAAGUUACCGUCGCAUGCCAAACGUGCUUUUCAUUUAGUUCCGUGCAGUUAAUGCUCUCGUACUCUCCCCCCAAGUAAAAGCCGGUCAUCUAUUUGACCCGUCUUGAAACCCCGACCAAGGAGUUUAUCGUGUGCGCCAGUUUUUGGGUGUUAAAAACCUAGAAGCCAAAUGAAAGUAAAUGAUUCUUUAGAGUCUGAUGUGCAAUCUUUUUUCAAAAAAGUGCAUCAAGGCCCCAUUCUAACUGUUUACGUAGGGUGGCGGAAGAGCGUAGCGGUGAGACCCAAAGAUGGGAACUAUUCCUGAGCAGACAAACCAGAGGAACUCUGGUGGAAUCCGAAGCGGUCUGACGUGCAAUCGAUCGUCUGACUGGGUAUAGGGGCGAAAGACAAUCGAACAUCUAGUACUGGUCCCUCCGAACUUCACUCUACUUUAUGUA
rnacentral:rRNA from 1 species